rnacentral:rRNA from 1 species
UACGUAGGGUGCAAGCGUUACUCGGAAUUACUGGGCGUAAAGCGUGCGUAGGCGGUUUGUUAAGUCCGCUGUGAAAGCCCUGGGCUCAACCUGGGAAUUGCAGUGGAUACUGGCGAGCUUGAGUGCAGGAGAGGAACGCAGAAUUCCAGGUGUAGCGGUGAAAUGCGUAGAUAUCUGGAGGAACACCGGUGGCGAAGGCGGCUUUCUGGACGAUAACUGACGCUGAGACGCGAAAGCGUGGGGAGCAAACAGG